AUUGAACGCUGGCGGCAUGCCUUACACAUGCAAGUCGAACGGCAGCACGGGGCAACCUGGUGGCGAGUGGCGAACGGGUGAGUAAUGCAUCGGAACGUACCUUUCAGUGGGGGAUAACGAAGCGAAAGUUACGCUAAUACCGCAUAUUCUGUGAGCAGGAAAGCAGGGGAUCGCAAGACCUUGCGCUGAUUGAGCGGCCGAUGUCAGAUUAGCUAGUUGGUGAGGUAAAGGCUCACCAAGGCGACGAUCUGUAGCGGGUCUGAGAGGAUGAUCGGCCACACUGGAACUGAGACACGGUCCAGACUCCUACGGGGGGCAGCGGUGGGGAAUUUUGGACAAUGGGGGCAACCCUGAUCCAGCCAUGCCGCGUGAGUGAAGAAGGCCUUCGGGUUGUAAAGCUCUUUCGGCCGGGAAGAAAUCGCACGGGCUAAUACCCUGUGUGGAUGACGGUACCGGAAUAAGAAGCACCGGCUAACUACGUGCCAGCAGCCGCCGCGG
rnacentral:rRNA from 1 species